CCUACGGGAGGCAGCAGUGGGGAAUAUUGGACAAUGGGGGCAACCCUGAUCCAGCCAUGCCGCGUGAGUGAUGAAGGCCUUAGGGUUGUAAAGCUCUUUCGGCGGGGAAGAUAAUGACGGUACCCGCAGAAGAAGCCCCGGCUAACUUCGUGCCAGCAGCCGCGGUAAUACGAAGGGGGCUAGCGUUGUUCGGAAUCACUGGGCGUAAAGCGCGCGUAGGCGGAUUGUUAAGUCAGAGGUGAAAUCCUGGAGCUCAACUCCAGAACUGCCUUUGAUACUGGCAAUCUCGAGUCCGGGAGAGGUGAGUGGAACUGCUAGUGUAGAGGUGAAAUUCGUAGAUAUUAGCAAGAACACCAGUGGCGAAGGCGGCUCACUGGCCCGGUACUGACGCUGNGUGCGAG
rnacentral:rRNA from 1 species